rnacentral:piRNA from 1 species
ACCAAAGACAAGGCUGCCAUUUGCUGUGCCC